rnacentral:rRNA from 1 species
UAGGGAAUCUUCGGCAAUGGACGGAAGUCUGACCGAGCAACGCCGCGUGAGUGAAGAAGGUUUUCGGAUCGUAAAGCUCUGUUGUUAGAGAAGAACGUUGGUAGGAGUGGAAAAUCUACCAAGUGACGGUAACUAACCAGAAAGGGACGGCUAACUACGUGCCAGCAGCCGCGGUAAUACGUAGGUCCCGAGCGUUGUCCGGAUUUAUUGGGCGUAAAGCGAGCGCAGGCGGUUCGUUAAGUCUGAAGUUAAAGGCAGUGGCUUAACCAUUGUACGCUUUGGAAACUGGAGGACUUGAGUGCAGAAGGGGAGAGUGGAAUUCCAUGUGUAGCGGUGAAAUGCGUAGAUAUAUGGAGGGACACCGGUGGCGAAAGCGGCUCUCUGGUCUGAAACUGACGCUGAGGCUCGAAAGCGUGGGGAGCAAACAGG